rnacentral:sRNA from 1 species
GCUGGGCAUGGUGGCGGAUGCCUAUAAUCCUAGCUACUUAGGAGGCUGAGGCAGGAGAAUCGCUUGAACCCAGGAGGCAGAGAUUGCAGUGAGCCGAGAUCUUGCCACUGCAUUCCAGCCUGGGUGACAGAGUGAGACUCUGUCUCAA